rnacentral:rRNA from 1 species
UACAGAGGGUGCAAGCGUUAAUCGGAAUUACUGGGCGUAAAGCGUGCGUAGUCGGUUAUCUAAGUCGGAUGUGAAAUCCCCGGGCUCAACCUGGGAAUUGCAUUCGAUACUGGAUAGCUAGAGUUCGGCAGAGGGAAGUGGAAUUUCCGGUGUAGCGGUGAAAUGCGUAGAUAUCGGAAGGAACAUCAGUGGCGAAAGCGGCAUCCUGGACCGAUACUGACGCUGAGGAGCGAAAGCCAGGGGAGCAAACGGG